rnacentral:tRNA from 1 species
UAUCGAUAUCGGGACUCGAACCCAAAUCUUUUAGUGGAGAGCUAAAUAUCUUACCCUUAGACUAUAUCGAC